rnacentral:rRNA from 1 species
ACGCUCGACACCUACGGGAGCAGCAGUUGGGAAUAUUGGACAAUGGAGGAAACUCUGAUCCAGUGACGCCGCGUGAAGGAAGAAGGUCUUCGGAUUGUAAACUUAUUUUGUCAGGGAAGAAAAAAUGACUGUACCUGAAGAAAAAGCACCGGCUAACUACGUGUCAGCAGCCGCGGUAAUCUGAGCGGGCUGGCAAGGC